rnacentral:rRNA from 1 species
GACGAACCGUGCGAACGUUAUUCGGAAUCACUGGGCUUAAAGCGCGUGUAGGCGGGUCGGCGCGUCGGCCGCUGAAAUCCCCCGGCUCAACCGGGGAAGGGGCGCCGAGACGGCCGGCCUGGAGGGACGUAGGGGGGGCUGGAACUUCCGGUGGAGCGGUGAAAUGCGUUGAGAUCGGAAGGAACGCCCGUGGCGAAAGCGAGCCCCUGGACGUCUACUGACGCUGAGACGCGAAAGCCAGGGGGAGCGAACGGG